rnacentral:lncRNA from 1 species
AUGCUUCUUGUCCCUCAUUGUCACCCAUUGUUGUCACCCGAUGCUGUCACACACCCCACAGUGCGGCUGUUGUCACCCCUUGUAGCAUCGUGCUCCUUGUUGUCACCCGUUGUUGUCACCCGUUGCUGUCACGCACCCUGCAGCACGGCUGUUGUCACCCCUUGUAACCUCAUGCUCCUGUUGUCACCCGUUAUUGUCACCCGUUGUUGUCACACACCUCUUAGUGCAGCUGUUGUCUCUUGCUUUUGUCUCCUGUUGUUGUCACCCGUUGUUGUCACACACCCCCCAGUGCGGCUGUUGUCACCUCUUGUAGCAUCAUGCUCCUUGCUGUCACCCGUUAUUGUCACCCGUUGUUGUCACACUCUCGCUGUUGUCACCCGUUGUUGUCACACUCUCGCUGUUGUCACCCGUUGUCGUCACGUCCUCGCUGUUGUCACCCGCUGUUGCUGCUGCGUGCUCCUCGUGGUCACUCCGUGUUGUCACCUGUUGUCACCCGCUGCCACGUGCGGUUGUUGCGCGGUUGUUGUGUGGUUGCGCGGCUGUUGCGUUGUGGCGCGGGGUCGUGGCGCGGUCGUGGCGCGGUUGCGCGGUUGUGUGGUUGUUGCGUGGUUGCGUGGUUGUUGUUGCGUGGUUGCGUGGUUGUUGUUGCGUGGUUGCGUGGUUGUUGUUGCGUGGUUGCGCGGUGGUUGUUGCGUGGUUGCGCGGUGGUUGUUGCGUGGUUGCGCGGUGGUUGUUGCGUGGUUGCGCGGUGGUUGUUGCGUGGUUGUUGCGUGGUUGUUGCGUGGUUGUUGCGCGGUGGUUGUUGCGUGGUUGCGUGGUGGUUGUUGCGUGGUUGCGCGGUGGUUGUUGCGUGGUUGCGCUGUGGUUGUUGCGUGGUUGUUGCGUGGUUGUUGCGUGGUUGCGCGGUGGUUGUUGCGCGGUGGUUGUUGCGCGGUUGUUGCGCGGUUGUUGCGCGGUUGUUGCGCGGUUGUUGCGCGGUUGUUGCGCGGUUGUUGCGCGGUUGUUGCGCGGUUGUUGUGUGGUUGCGCGGUCGUUGCGCGGUCG